rnacentral:rRNA from 1 species
GUCGAGCGGUAGCACAGAGAGCUUGCUCUCGGGUGACGAGCGGCGGACGGGUGAGUAAUGUCUGGGAAACUGCCUGAUGGAGGGGGAUAACUACUGGAAACGGUAGCUAAUACCGCAUAAYGUCGCAAGACCAAAGUGGGGGACCUUCGGGCCUCAUGCCAUCAGAUGUGCCCAGAUGGGAUUAGCUAGUAGGUGGGGUAACGGCUCACCUAGGCGACGAUCCCUAGCUGGUCUGAGAGGAUGACCAGCCACACUGGAACUGAGACACGGUCCAGACUCCUACGGGAGGCAGCAGUGGGGAAUAUUGCACAAUGGGCGCAAGCCUGAUGCAGCCAUGCCGCGUGUGUGAAGAAGGCCUUCGGGUUGUAAAGCACUUUCAGCGGGGAGGAAGGCGAUAAGGUUAAUAACCUYRUCGAUUGACGUUACCCGCAGAAGAAGCACCGGCUAACUCCGUGCCAGCAGCCGCGGUAAUACGGAGGGUGCAAGCGUUAAUCGGAAUUACUGGGCGUAAAGCGCACGCAGGCGGUCUGUCAAGUCGGAUGUGAAAUCCCCGGGCUCAACCUGGGAACUGCAUUCGAAACUGGCAGGCUAGAGUCUUGUAGAGGGGGGUAGAAUUCCAGGUGUAGCGGUGAAAUGCGUAGAGAUCUGGAGGAAUACCGGUGGCGAAGGCGGCCCCCUGGACAAAGACUGACGCUCAGGUGCGAAAGCGUGGGGAGCAAACAGGAUUAGAUACCCUGGUAGUCCACGCCGUAAACGAUGUCGAUUUGGAGGUUGUGCCCUUGAGGCGUGGCUUCCGGAGCUAACGCGUUAAAUCGACCGCCUGGGGAGUACGGCCGCAAGGUUAAAACUCAAAUGAAUUGACGGGGGCCCGCACAAGCGGUGGAGCAUGUGGUUUAAUUCGAUGCAACGCGAAGAACCUUACCUGGUCUUGACAUCCACAGAACUUUCCAGAGAUGGAUUGGUGCCUUCGGGAACUGUGAGACAGGUGCUGCAUGGCUGUCGUCAGCUCGUGUUGUGAAAUGUUGGGUUAAGUCCCGCAACGAGCGCAACCCUUAUCCUUUGUUGCCAGCGGUUAGGCCGGGAACUCAAAGG